GUGUCUUGCGAUUACCAUUGUACCUGUGGUUUAUGUCGCCUGUUUCGUUGUAUUUCUGACACUCGCGCAACACGCUUGCGGAAUGUGCAAGUUGCUGGGGUAAGGAAUUAUUCCUAGCGCGAUUUAAUAUUAUUUGCAAAACAGCAGACGUCUCUUACAAUUGGUUUACUUGAAAGCAGAGCAUCUAUCAACCCUCGACUGUUAUAUCACGUCUCAUUUGUUAUUUAAAACAAAUAGUAUUCCUCUCAUGUCUUUAUAUUUGUGUUUUGUUAAUUCUUUUCUACAUUUUUUUUCAUACGAAUAAUAAACAGUUAUUUCAUCUUUUUCUUUGCUCAUUGCGCAAAUAUCAUUAGAUCCAAAACUAAUUGCAUGAUAACAAUAAUUGGCGAUAAUUUCGGCAGGUAUCGCGCGGAACGCUUAUUUUGUGUUAUCGAAGACAAGGCAACACGUGAUUUAAUGAUAAUACAUAAGUCACAAAUAAAUUACAGAAACAUAGCCGUUUUUGUACGGCAGCAUUACAACCUUAUACAAUUCGUUGGUAUAAUCGAAACUUGUCACACGGUACCGUUUCUGUUGGAAAUCGUAGGAGUAGUGAUAUUAUUGAGCAUUACGAUAAUUCAGGUAUUAACUAUUUCCAGUUUCGAACUAGCUGUCAGAUCUAUCGGUGUCUCCAUAGCAGCACUGAUUUAUGUAUUUAUAUCUUGUUUUAUGGGACAAAAGAUUACGGAUCUGAGUUCGGGUAUAUGUGAGAAAUUAUUCAACUCUACAUGGUACAAUGCAGUUGUUUCGGAGCAAAAAGCAGUGUUAAUAAUAAUGAUGCGACGCUGUCACCCGGUUAUCUUGACUGCUUAUAAAUUUUACGUGAUGUCUUUGCAAAAUUUCGAAAUGAUACUUCAAGCAGUGGUCUCCUAUUGCAUGUUUCUCAAUCAACUUUGAAAACGUAUUUCUGUCAAGUAGUAAACGUAGAAAUAGCGUAGAAAAUUCGUGGAAAUGUUAGACCUGUGCAGAUCUUUUUACGUUAUCGAAAAGUCUUCUGCGUAAAAACGCGUCUGCUGGUGCGGUUUACAGAACAGCAGAAUAUUUCUGGGAGUAUUCGAGACGGUGACAUUAAUUUUAUUAACUUUUUAUUUUAAAACAAAAAUAUCUAACAGAUAGUCACACAGAUAUCUGUCUGAUAGUUCCAUCAUUUUCGAAAUUUUUUAACUCUUGACGAUUUCAAGAUGUCAUAAUAAUCUCUGAGAAUGUUUAUCCCUUUACUCUUAUCAAGGAUCAAUAAUAUGUUUCCAGCUGUCGAGUAUUUUCACAUCUAGCUUCAUCGCGAACUUCAUAGUCGAUGCGAUACCAACACUUGUACCUACAUUAGGUAGCUUGAGCCAUGUAUGAACGCGUCAGACAUGUAGACAAACUUUGGGAUCUGUUUAAACGUAUGUGGAAGUUGCAAAAGAUUGCAAGAUCGAAAUUAUGUCCGAACACGCCGAGACC